GAUGAACGCUGGCGGCGUGCCUAACACAUGCAAGUCGAACGGGUGUGGUAUCAGGGAAAAGGGGUUUACUUCUUUGACCAGAUAACACACUAGUGGCGGACGGGUGAGUAACGCGUGGAUAACCUGCCUUAUACAGGGGGAUAACAGGGAGAAAUUCUUGCUAAUACCCCAUAGGUAUGUCUGACGCAUGUUGGACAUAUUAAAGCUUUGGCGGUAUAAGAUGGGUCCGCGUCUGAUUAGCUAGUUGGUGGGGUAAAGGCCCACCAAGGCGACGAUCAGUAGCCGGCUUGAGAGAGUGGACGGCCACAUUGGGACUGAGACACGGCCCAAACUCCUACGGGAGGCAGCAGUGGGGAAUAUUGCACAAUGGGGGAAACCCUGAUGCAGCGACGCCGCGUGAAGGAAGAAGGUCUUCGGAUCGUAAACUUCUAUCAGCAGGGAAGAAGGAAGUGACAGUACCUGAGUAAGAAGCCCCGGCUAACUACGUG
rnacentral:rRNA from 2 species